rnacentral:tRNA from 1 species
UCCGCUAUGGUGUAACGGUCAGCAUAUUGCCUUUUCAAUCUGAUAUCAGUCGAAAUUCGGCGGAGACCGGGGUUCGAUUCCCCGUAGCGGAG